CGACCGGCAAACGGGUGCGGAACACGUACACAACCUUCCUUUAAGUGGGGGAUAGCCCAGAGAAAUUUGGAUUAAUACCCCAUAAUAUUACCGGGUGGCAUCAUUUGGUAAUUAAAGCUUUGGCGCUUAGAGAUGGGUGUGCGUCUGAUUAGGUAGUUGGUUGGGGUAACGGCCCACCAAGCCAGCGAUCAGUAACUGGUGUGAGAGCACGACCAGUCACACGGGCACUGAGACACGGGCCCG
rnacentral:rRNA from 1 species